UUGGCCACCGGGUCGACCUCGCGGGUCACCACCAAGUACUCGCGCAGGGCGAUGGCGUGCAGGUGCUC
rnacentral:sRNA from 1 species